UACGUAGGGGGCAAGCGUUGUCCGGAAUUACUGGGCGUAAAGGGCUCGUAGGCGGCCCACUAAGUCCGACGUGAAAUCCCCAGGCUUAACUUGGGAACUGCGUCGGAUACUGGUGGGCUUGAAUCCGGGAGAGGGAUGCGGAAUUCCAGGUGUAGCGGUGAAAUGCGUAGAUAUCUGGAGGAACACCGGUGGCGAAGGCGGCAUCCUGGACCGGCAUUGACGCUGAGUGAGCGAAAGCCAGGGGAGCAAACGGG
rnacentral:rRNA from 1 species